UUUGACCUCAAAUCAGGUAGGACUACCCGCUGAACUUAAGCAUAUCAAUUAAGCGGAGGAACGGGGGAGC
rnacentral:rRNA from 1 species